GCUUACGGCCACACCGGCCUGAGUACGCCUGAUCUUGUCCGAUCUCGGAAGCUAAGCAGGGUCGGGCCUGGUUAGUACUUCGAUGGGAGACUGCCUGGGAAUACCAGGUGCUGUAAGCU
rnacentral:rRNA from 1 species